rnacentral:rRNA from 1 species
UGGGGGGGUGCCUAAUACAUGCAAGUCGAGCGGACAGAAGGGAGCUUGCUCCCGGAUGUUAGCGGCGGACGGGUGAGUAACACGUGGGUAACCUGCCUGUAAGACUGGGAUAACUCCGGGAAACCGGAGCUAAUACCGGAUAGUUCCUUGAACCGCAUGGUUCAAGGAUGAAAGACGGUUUCGGCUGUCACUUACAGAUGGACCCGCGGCGCAUUAGCUAGUUGGUGAGGUAACGGCUCACCAAGGCGACGAUGCGUAGCCGACCUGAGAGGGUGAUCGGCCACACUGGGACUGAGACACGGUCCAGACUCCUACGGGA